rnacentral:lncRNA from 1 species
UUUUUAAUUUGUGUGAAAUAACCUAGAACGACAAGUAAUAUGAAACGGAGGGAGUAUUUCAUUUGCUGAGUCGACCACAUGGAAUGCUCAAGAAACAACUUAACAUUAAUCCAAGACAUUUUGACGCUUUUUUGCCUUCAUUGAUACGUACGGCCUCUUAGGCUUUUUUAGCUAUUCCCAAUGCCAACUGUCAACGUUCGUAUCUCUAUCGCCAUUUUAAAGAAAAUCCACAAAAAUCAUUCUUUAAUUUAUAGCAUGCCAGGCUGCUGGCUGCUAAUAGCCCAAAUAGAAUUACAAGUGUAUUUGUACAUUUCUUUCUCAUACUCUUUAAUUAUCUAACAAAAACUUUAUGCAAAAUGAAAAAUAAAAAUUUUUCUUUUGCAUUUCACUUAAAUUAGAAUACAUAUUAUUUUUUUUGGACUAUAUAUAUAUAUAUAUAUGUUAUAAAAGUUGUUACUAAAUAGGAAAAUUUGUCAAACAAAAGUGUGAAAAUUGAUUUUCUGACUUUAAGUUGUUGCUCUCUUUUUAUUCUCUCCAUUUUCAAAACUUUAUACUAAAGGAUGCAUAGGUUGAUAAAUUUUACAUUCAUCAAAAAAAGAAAGUUUAUUUUCUGACCAAAAAACCUUCAACCUUACGAAAGUUGCUUGAACUUUUUUUAGGAAAAAGAAAACACUUAAUACUUGAUAAAAAAAAAAAAAAAAAAAAAAAACCUCACGGUUCCGAAGAUAAAUAUUUUAAAAUCAAAACCAAAAUUAAUUCAUAAAUAAGAAAGGGAUAGAUCCGUUUUUUCUGAUUUACUCAAUGCUCUUAAAAAUACUUGCAUCACAUGUGUCAGACAAAACUCAACACAGAUGUGGUAUACGUAUAAAACGUACUUAAAUAAUAAUUAAGCACGUAUUGGUAGCUACAUUAGGCAAGAAAAAUAAUAUGUUUAUUUCAAAUUUCAAUAAUAAUUUUUCUGCCAUUACUAUUAAAUGCUGUUUUUUUUUUUUUUUGACAUCUUUGGAUCGACAAGGCCCGAUCCAUAGCCAAUCCCUACUACGCGGAGUAACGCGACUUAGUGAAAUCGAACUCCGGUGAAGAAGGCGGAGUCAAAUGGACUUAACCACUUGACUAAAGACACAUCUCCUACUAUUAAAUGUUGUUAUCCGUUAAUAAUUAUAAAAUUUUCACAAAUUGGUAAAGUCCGUAUUAAUUUUUUCUUAUACUAUUCAAAUCUCAUUAUUGGACCCAGUCACCUAACCCUACCCCAUAUAUUGGUAUCCCCUCUGGCUUCUAUAUAUACUUUCCAUUUCUCAAAUCUCCAACUUACACCAAAACACAACAAAGACCAUAUAACCUUCUCUCCCACUUAGAGUCUUUCAUCUCACUCUCACCUUAAAAUGGCUCACAACCAUUCUAAUGAAGAAGGCUCCAUUGGAACCUCCUUGCAUGGAGUUACAGCAAGAGAACAAGUCUUCUCUUUCUCCGUCGAUGCUUCGUCUCAAACCGUCCAAUCCGACGACCCAACGGCUAAAUUCGCCCUUCCCGUUGAUUCUGAACAUCGUGCCAAAGUGUUCAACCCACUCUCAUUUGCAAAACCUCACAUGAGAGCAUUUCACUUAGGAUGGCUCUCUUUCUUCACUUGCUUCAUCUCAACCUUCGCUGCCGCACCAUUAGUCCCCAUCAUCCGCGACAACCUCGACCUCACUAAAACCGACAUUGGGAAUGCCGGAGUCGCCUCCGUCUCUGGAGCCAUUUUCUCAAGGUUAGCCAUGGGAGCGGUUUGCGAUCUCCUUGGUGCGCGGUAUGGGACUGCCUUCUCCCUCAUGCUAACAGCCCCAAUCGUCUUCUCAAUGUCAUUUGUGGGUGGCCCCAGCGGAUACUUAGGCGUCCGGUUCAUGAUCGGAUUCUGCCUCGCCACGUUUGUGUCGUGCCAGUAUUGGACCAGCGUCAUGUUCAACGGUAAGAUCAUAGGACUAGUGAAUGGCUGUGCCGGCGGGUGGGGUGAUAUGGGCGGUGGAGUGACUCAACUCCUCAUGCCGAUGGUCUUCCACAUCAUUAAACUCGCCGGAGCCACUCCGUUCAUGGCGUGGCGCAUAUCUUUCUUCGCUCCCGGAUUUCUUCAAGUUGUUAUGGGCAUUCUCGUCCUCAGUCUCGGCCAAGAUCUCCCUGACGGUAACCUAAGUAUACUUCAGAAGAGAGGUCAAGUCUCUAAAGACAAAUUCUCCAAGGUAUUUGUCUAUAUCUAUUUCUGUCUCAUCUUUGAUUAUAUAGCAAAUCCAGAUCAAGAACAAUAUAUAUGGCUCUCAAUCUCAUUAAAAGAAUCUUGCAAACAUUUAAAAUAGUCAUGAAAUUUUGCAAUAAAUUUUAGUCGUAACAAACUUUGCGACUAUCUUUCAAAAUUAGCAUUGAUGCAAAGUUACAAACUACUCAGAAAAAUAAUUGCUAGUUGCGAUUAAGUUGCCUAUAACCAAUGACAAUAACUAAUAGUUAGCAACAAAUUUGAUACAAAUUAAAUAAUCAUUAGCACUGUUCUUGUGUCUAAAGGCUUUUCUUGUUAUAGGUUUUCUGGUUUGCUGUGAAGAACUACAGAACAUGGAUUUUAUUCGUUCUUUAUGGAUCUUCCAUGGGAAUUGAAUUAACUAUCAACAACGUUAUCUCCGGAUAUUUCUACGACAGGUUUGAUUUCUUAUACUUUAAAUCCAAAUGAGGAUCUUACUUACUUCUAGCACAAGGUAAUAACCAUUGGUUUCUUGUUAUCUACGUAUAUAUAUAUCAGGUUUAACCUUAAGCUUCAAACAGCUGGUAUCGUAGCAGCCAGCUUUGGAAUGGCUAACUUCAUUGCCCGUCCCUUCGGUGGUUACGCUUCUGAUGUAGCGGCUCGGAUUUUUGGAAUGAGAGGCCGGUUAUGGACCUUAUGGAUCUUUCAAACCGUAGGAGCUCUUUUCUGUAUCUGGCUAGGUCGAGCUAGUACGCUUCCCAUAGCAAUCUUAGCAAUGGUGCUCUUCUCAAUCGGUACACAAGCAGCUUGUGGAGCCCUCUUCGGGGUUGCGCCUUUUGUCUCGCGCCGCUCUCUAGGGCUCAUAUCGGGACUAACCGGCGCAGGAGGAAACUUUGGGUCCGGUUUGACUCAACUGCUUUUCUUCUCAUCAUCGAGAUUUAGUACAGCGGAAGGGCUCUCGUUGAUGGGCGUUAUGGCAGUUCUGUGCACGAUCCCGGUUGCGUUUAUACAUUUUCCGCAAUGGGGAAGCAUGUUUUUAAGGCCGUCGAGCGAUGGAGAAAGAUCGCAGGAAGAAUAUUAUUACAGUUCCGAAUGGACGGAGAACGAGAAACAACAAGGAUUGCACGAAGGAAGCAUCAAAUUUGCUGAGAAUAGUCGGUCAGAGAGAGGCCGAAAAGUAGCUUUGACUGAUAUUCCAACGCCGGCGAACGCAACUCCAAGUCAUGUUUGAAGACAAACUUACAAGAGAUUUUUUCCUUGUACAUUAAAUCCCUUUUAAUAGUUUCUUAAUUCCACUCAUAUAUGAGAUAUGUACCGAGUAAGAUCUUGCUUUGACGAGCAAGGUUCGAUGAGCGUGGUACUUUACUAUAAAUUGUUGCAAUGUUGUUUCGAUUAAAGGCAGCAUUGUUCAACAACUCUUUCUGCACCAAUCAGAUUUAUGUCAAGCGAAAAGUAAAAAAAAGUCUGUUAAAGAUGCGUGUGACGUUAAGAGACUACAUAAGAAAACUUUAUGAACAUAGACCACUGAAGAAGCAAUUGAAUGAGUAAUCGUUAAAAGAAUUUUAAGAAGAGCCAAAAGCCCAAAACGUUAGUAACACAGAAAUUAUCAGUGCAAUUCUGUAAGUGAAUCAAGAUUCCAUAAUCAACAUAAAGAUGGAAUAUUCGGAUACUUUUCCAACGAAUAUACGAAUAUAAUUAUGAGAAGAUUCUCACUUUAAUAUUAAAUAUAAAUACCAUAAUCGUCAACAUCUCGGUCUUAAAAACAAAAAAAAAAAUCCUACAAAUACCACCAAAAAUAUUACUUUCUCUCUCUGUUUGGCCUUCAAAAAAACGUUCAACAACAAUAACAAAAUAAAAAUAAAAAGACAUGAUAAUGAUGAUAAUACUAAUAUAGAAAGAAUCUCUGACCUCUUAAUGCUUAAGAAAUGCAGAGAUUACUGAGUAUGGUUUAGCUGUCUCUCAAGUGUGGCUUCAGAACUCGUUAAAAACCAUUCCCAAAACCAUCAAAAAAACAUAUCCUUCCCUCUCUCCCUCGGCAUGACCCAAUCUGAGUCUUUUCCUUUAUCCAUCAAGAGAAGAAGACUCGACCUUUAUCUUCAAUCUUCAAGUCCGGCUUUAGCCUUGAGGUGCCUCUUGAAGUCCAUAAUGUCACCGUUCCAUUUAGUUAUGCAUUGUUUCUCACAAACCCAUAUCUCAUGCGCCACUUGGUUGAUCAGCCUGAAGUCGUGACUCACCAGAACCAGACCACCAUCCCACUCGUUCAAUGCCUCAGCGAGUGAGUCAAUUGUCUCGAUAUCCAAAUGGUUAGUUGGCUCGUCCAGUAGAAGCAUGUUAGGCUGCUUAUAAGCUAACCACGCAAAGAUCACUCUGCUCCUUUGUCCAUCAGAUAGAUUCUUCAUCGGCAUUACUUGGGCCUUACCAGUAAGACCAAAUCUACCAAUCGCAGCUCUCAUUUUCUCCUCUUCGGUACCCGGGAACUCCCUCAUCAUGUAGAGAAGUGCAGGCAAUUCCAGGUCUAGCUUCUCAGCCAGAUGCUGAUGGUACUGAGCAAUCUUCAAGUGGUUGUGACGUCGCACCAUUCCUUCAGUUGGGUGCAGUUCACCAGUCAUGAGCUUCAAAAGUGUACUCUUUCCAGCUCCAUUAGGUCCCACGAGAGCGACCCUAGAGUCCAAGUCGACACCAAAGUCGAUGUUUUUGUAUAUGAGAUAGUCCGGUGUGUACCCAAAAGACACUUCCACAAACUGAAGCACUGGCGGUGGAAGCUUCCCAACAUCAGCAAAACGGAAAACGAGAACGCUGUCUCUGGCAACCUUUUCAGUGAGCCCACCUCUCUCCAUCUUUGCCAAUGUUUUCUCCUUACUCUGUGCUUGACGAGCAAGUUUGGCUGAACCGUGACCAAACCUAGCAAUGUACUCCUUCAUGUGAGAAAUCUGCUCCUGCUCCCAUCUGUAUUGUUUCAUCUGAUUCUCUUCUAGCUCAGAACGAGUCUGGCAAUACUGAUCAAAGUUACCAGUGUAGUACUUGAGCUGCUUGCUCUGCAUGUGGAUGAUGUUUGUACAAACUCCAUUCAAGAAAUCCUGCGAGUGUGAUACCACAACAAGGAUGCGAUCAAAGUUCUUCAGGCUCUCUUCUAACCACACACAAGCUUCCAAAUCUGUUUCAGGAAUUACAGUCAGCAUAAGAACAUAACACUAAAGAAAACCAUCUGAAGCAAGUUACAAGAAGAAAGAUCACCAACCUAAAUGAUUUGUCGGCUCAUCAAGCAAAAGGAUAGUUGGCAUUAUGAAGAGAGCUCUUGCUAAUGCAAUUCUCAUCCUCCAACCACCGGAAAAAUCUUUCGUCUUCUUAGCUUGCAUUUCCUUGUCGAAACCAAGUCCAAACAGAAUUUCAGCAGCACGCUUCUCAGCGGUUGCAGCAUCCAUGGCUUCUAACCUCUCAUAGAUAGAUUCAAGACGCUCGCCACCAGCAUCCUGAUAAAAACAACCAUAAUAAGCAUCAAGCACGAAUAUAAAGCUCAAUUUAGAAUCCAAUCUAGUAUUGAUUGACACAAACCUGCUCAACAAGAAUUUCAACUUCCUUCUCCAACCUCAACCUCUCUUCAUCACAGCUAACAACAGCCUCAAGGGAGGACAUGUCAGUAGCUUCAAUCUCGUGAGAAAGAUGAUAGAUAUCCAUAUGAUCCGGAAUCGGUAUCUCUCUGCGUCCGAUUGCAGUUAAAAGAGUGGACUUUCCACAACCAUUCAACCCAAGCAGACCAUAACGCCUUCCAUAGUUAAGCUCCAACAUUGAAUCAACAAUAAGGUCAUAACCAUGAAACGUCACAGACAGAGAUUCUAUCUGCAAACAGAUUAUAAACCAAUUCCAUCAAAAAAACAGAGGAUACAAAAUAUAAGCAAUCAAACUAAUGAUUCUCUAAAUAAAUAUUCACAGAUCAGAGGGCACAAAUCUAAAUUUCCAAAUCAAAUCACAGAAACCAGAUAAGAGGACUUACUCGAAUAUCCCUAGAUUGGGGAUGAGAACAGAGAACUCCGGUACAAGUCCGAUCAGAAAUUUGAAGAGCGUCGACACCGCUCGACAAGCUAUCAACUCCAUUGGAGGAAGUAGCGGCGGAUUUAGAAGAAGCAGCAGCUUUACCACCUCUUUUAGCGGCGGCGGCGGCUUUCUUUUGAGCUGCCUUCUUCUUGCUAGCGUCAGACACCAUCUUCAAAUAUCUCCCUGAGAAACAAAAAAAAAAAAUCAAAUCCAAACCAUGGAGAAUACGAAACAGAUCGUGGAAUCAACAAAUCGUGGAAGAGGAAAUAGUAAAAAAUUUACCUGAGAGAUUCGGGAGAUCUGUAGAUCUAGGGUUUUCAGCAGAAGACAAGAGUUCGGCAAAAAUUAGGGUUAAUGGUGGUUUCUGUUGACGCGAGGCGGAAGAAUCGGUAUUUAUAAGAGACGAUUGUUCUGGGUGUGCCACGUGUACGGUGACACUGAGUUUGCUUUCUAGAUUUUCAGUUGCGUAUCAGAACACAACACACCUACUUCACUUUGGUCGGUCCCGAAUAAUGUGCUUCUUUUAUAUGGGCUUUAAAUAUCAAAGGCCCAAUAGUAGCUGGUAAAGAUCCAGAAGUGAAGAAUUGUAAGCCCACGGCUUUUUCUUAGGUCGUCUUAUAUAUUCUUCCAAUGAUUCGGACUUGCAACUAUAAUAUAGGCUUGUUUUUGCAAACUUCUUUACAAUCAACAAAAUAAUCUUAUUUGGGUCAUUUGAGAAAGAAAAAAAAUCAAUAAACAUAAACAAAAAAUUGAGGUAUAAGUGUUAGUAAUAGAUAAUUUUUGGGCUACUAGGUUGGUUUAGGAAAUGUUUUGGGAACUCUAAACCAAGACGCUACAUUAAUUUGGUUUUAUUGUUUUGUGAAUGAAAAUGUUUGGUUUUAUUGUUGUAGUUCAAGUGACUUUUUUCACAUGUGCUUUGCAUAUUUGUUGCAGUCUACAGUCUUGAGAAUCCACGCAUAUGUAAGUAAGAAACUCAUCCAUGAUGAUGAACAUGAUAUUGAUAGGUCAUAUCCAUUAAAUUCUAUCAGCUUUUGUGUUCUAUUUGAUGUUGUAGAUAGACUGUAGAAUUAAUGUAGGUAUUCACGAGUAUACAAGUUGAAUAGUUAUUCUUGUAAACAGAAGAAAAGCUGAUUCGACUUGGAAGUUGAAGAUCUCCUAGUAGAUGGAAUGUUCACUCGAUGAGAUGUAUCAGAAAGAUCUUCAUCAUUUCUUAAACUUUGUAAUUAAUUUUUCCAAAUGCCUUACGCAAUUUUGUAAGUUAGAUAUGUGUAUUUUGAAUUUAUAUUGUAAUGUUUGCCCCCAAAAACAAAAUUUCGUCAUGACUAAAAAAAAUACAGUUAGAUUUAUCUCUGGCUAAUUGAACUUAAACCAAAAAAAAAUUGAAAUUAUUUAUAGCUUAUUUCAUCUAGAAUCAUAAAUAGAGAAAACCAACUAAAAACAAAAGACUUGAGUUAUUGACCUGUAAUAUUUCAAGUCAACUUUACUCGUCUGGUCUGUGAGGAAGAUUCAACGAAACCGUCAAAUGAGUUAUGUCUCCGUAAGAAAAAUAAUGUUUUCAUAUUGGAUUUUGAAAUUUGUUUUCCAAGGAAGAAGAAACUUCUUCGACCUUAUCCUCAUUCACUCAUUGCAAAAGAAGUUUGGAAAUUAGUGUAUAGAAGAAAUCAAAUCAAAUAGAAAUUUCACAAAGUACCGAAGCUGAGAAAAAAAAUGAGAAGAUGAGGAAAGAAAAAAAAAGGCAAAGCAUUGACUCCUAGAAAGGCUAAAUGUCUUUCUCUUUUUCCUUUUUCAUUGUUGUGGACCUCAUUAUUACCUCCUUGUGCAAGAAGGUGUUGUUGUGAAUAGAGCCUAUGUUUUGUGUACUUAUGAGUUAUUAUGUCUAUAGACAUUGAUCAAAUUUGUUUAUAAAUGAUAAUAGUUCAAUCGAUAAUUUGAAAUUUAUUUCUUUAUUGACCACUGGUUUGAUAUGAUGGAUGAUAUAAAUCCUAAAAUGAUAAAUAUAAAUAAAUAAAUAUAUAUAUAUAUAUAUAUAUAUAUCUGAAUAUUGUAAAUGUAGGGUAAAUAGAUCUCUAAUAUUGUAAUGUGUUUUACAUUCCAUAACUAAAUGGCUAUGAAAUGGAACUUAGUAAACUUUUAUGUCAUCAUGGUCCAACAAAUCCAAAGAUCUAUAUGGUCCAACAAAUAGGACUAAACUCAAGAUAGAUGAGUCAAUUUGAGACAUAUCAUAUUGAAAACAUUUGGAAAUAGACAUACCAAAUAAGUUUUUUGCAAGGCCAUAAGUUUUCUUUAUUAUCAAUUGAUUUUUAAGAUUAAAGUUUAAAAACAUUUUUAUUAUUCAUAUCAAAGGAAAGCAACACUCGCUUUUGGAUUUGGUAAAAGCAUAGUAAUUUAAUUUUUGCAUAGUACUGCAUGUAAAAUGAUAAUUUAUAUGAAGAAAGUGCUUCAUGAAAACAACAAAUUAUAUAUGCAUGGAAUAAAGAAUCCUCGAAUAUUCUGGCCACAGUUUCGUUUUUUCUUGUUCUAUCCGAAUUAUGAUUUGCAUUAUAAAUCAAUAACAUCUUCCAGUGUGUUUUUUCUCCUUUUAUUUUCCCCUUUUUCUUUAUCUUUUUUUGUUCUUCUUCUUUUCUCUUUUAUCUUUUAUCUUUUUUUUUUUUAUGGUCUUUUGGUCCACUUUUCUUGGCAUGCCCUACUAAAGCCCACGUGGUAAGAACCAACGACAAUCAUCAAGCCUAUGCAACAAAAAAAAAAUACCAAGGGAAUCAUUUUAAUCCCUAAUUUAUUUUACUUUUAAAAAAAAAAAAUAUUAUCAAUUUAUCAUAACUAACCCAUUUGAAUUUUGUAAAAUAUUUUAGUCAUUUCAUUAACCAAAAUGUAUCAUAAAGAACGACCUCUUGUUUUGCAACUAACUUUAAUUAUUGAUACAAAGAUGUAAAUAGGAAAAUCAUGUGUCUUCUUCGUAAACUAUUUUCUUAUUUCUCUCGACCAAACUCUUCUUAUAUCAGCAAACAAUAAUUGAUUUAGUGAGUUCCUUUGGAUUAUAACAUUCUUUCUUGCUUUACCAUUUUCAACUAAUCUAUAGAAUUUAAUUUAUUUCCUACCAUGUCCGAUUAUACAAAUUAACCAUGAUAUAAACAAUGUGAAUGAAUCUUCAAAAUGUAGAAUUAGUAGUGGGACUUUGUAAGUCGGAAUGACUAGGUCUACUAAACCACCACUAUAUUUAGUUUUUUUUUUGUGUGUUCAAUCUCAAUUUAAAAACUACGAUGUACUUUGGAAUACAAAGAAAGCUGCUUAUCAAGUUUACUUUUCGACAACUAUAGCUUAAUUAACGGAUAUGAUAAAACUUUUUUUAUUUUUGUAAAGUGGAAAAAGGUUUCCUACAAAAAAAUAUUCUAGACAUUAUUUUAUUUUAAGAAAAAAGGAUAAAGAGAAUGAAAUUUAUGAGCGUGUUGAAAGCUUUAUUAGUUACUUUUAUAUGAUUUAUCUAUAAAUCCAUUAGUUUCCUCGAACUCGAAUGUAACUUUCCUAGAAAAGAAAGUUGGAACUUUGAAACUAACAUGUAUGAUGAUCAUCAUGAAAAAUCAUGAUGAUGCAUGAAGCACCCCGUAUCAUGAUCACAAAUUCUCAAACACAUGUUCAUGCAUGUAUUACUAGUUAAUUAAUAUUGAACGAGAUGUCGCAUCAAACGCACAUGCACAAUAAAAACAUGAAUACGACGACUAUAUUGAUGUUAAUAUAAAUUUCUUAUUAAUGACUAUUUUUAUACAAUAAAUAAAUAAAUAAAUUUUGGCUUUACGUUACCAUUAAAGAGUAAAAGGAAAUAAAUAGUAAUGUGAGCAUUGAUGUCAUGGGUUGGCAUUCACUAUAUGUUGACUUACCUAUCGAAUUCGUUCUCAUAUAAACUAAACUUCUUUUUUUGACCAAAACAAUGCUAAUUUAAUUUGAUUUUCACCUGUAGUUUACCAGAUAAAGAGCAAGUAUAUAGUACCAAAUAUACUAACCUUGUAUGAAUUUAAAAUGUAGGUGUAUAUAUGCCUUAGCUAAAUCUAGAAAUAAAUCAAUAGAUUUUUAGUUCAAUAUAGUCGGCUUAAUAUAUGUUAAUUAAUAAGAACUGAAUACUAACGAAAUUUCGUCUUUUAUGUUAGCAACAACACUCUUAAAAUAGUUUCAUAUCCAUUAUUAUUAGGUUGUUGCUUUAUUUCUUAAUUUGUUUUCUCGAAUCGGCAAUGGUUCGAUUCAUAUAGUCAUAUACCCUCCACCGUUGAUUUCAUAUAUUAAAUUUCGUGUUUUUAUAAAUAAUAAAUUAAUAUAAAGUACAUGAUGUACUAGUUUAUAUGGACUCAAAUGUGUCCAAAAACUUAGGAAUAAUAUAUUAAAACAGUAACAACUUACAAGACGGGAGAGGGCCGGGCAUGAAGCAGAGGAAAAGAGAGGACUCCCAUCCAACCAACUGGCUCAAAGUUUCGUAAAGACACGGACACACUAUUUUUUCAAAACCCUAGCUUUAUCACCAACUUGAAAAAUAACAAAAAAAGGGGGUUAUAAAUUUAUAAUUCGAUCUGUAACAUUAAUCAGGAAAGAAAGUAGAGUGCUCAUAGAGUUUCUAUGUAAUUUAUGGUAAAGUUGUAUACAUAUUAAUGUAUAAUUGGCCACAAAAUAAAGUGUGAUUGGAGACAACAGAAAUUUCCAAUCAAGUGAGUGGUGGGAAAGAAGAAACUACGUAAGCUAAAUUUAUUACUAAGGCAAAAAAAGACGAGAAUGGUAGUGUAGUAGUUAUAUGAUUAUGCAUUUAUUAUGUACUUUUGACUAAGCAUUUAUGGACAUUCACCAUUGCGCUUUUAAUUUUAAUAGGUAUCCGUAUUGUCAUUAUUUGGUAAAAUUAAUACUCUGUAAAACUUUUAUAGGCCAAAAAAACUGUGCACAUAGUGUAGUACAUAGACACCACAAGACUCAACUUUUGUUUGUAUACAAGUGAAUAAAAAAAAGCUUGGUUGUUUAUAGUAAAAUACAUUCGAUUGACUAAUUCGUGAUUAAUGCAGAGAAACCAAAAGAAUUGCUUACUAAUUGUAGUGCUCUGUUUAUGACCUGUUUCUAAAUAAUUGUUUAUGUAAAUGUAGUAAAGGACUCUAAUAUACUACAAUGUAAUACAACCGUUGGUAGCUUAGUUCUGUGUAUUGGACGAAUUUGUUGAGAUUUUAUUCUCGAAUGUCAACAUUCACUUGGAGGGGACCGAUAUGGUUCUAAAUUUAUAAGGCCCCAAAUUGUUACUAGUAUUAUUUUUCUUCAGAUUUAACAAUGUAUAGUUCUCACUUCUCAUUACCAUUGUCAACUCUCAACAUGUCAACGUUUGAAUGUAGCCCGAUUAGUAUAAAAUACAUCAUAUUGGUUUUUCUACAAUCAAUUUAACUAAACUUAUUUUUAUUUAUUCCCAAUUAAACUAGACAAGGAAAAAGAAAAUAUUAAAUCUCUUUGGAUAUAUUUGCAUGUUUAAACUUUGAAGUGGAGUAAUUAAAUAUGCCCAGCUAGAUAAACCAAAAAAGGGAGAAAUUAAAAACUAAAACCGUAGCAGAAUCCCAAGAAGAAAAAUACCAAAAAUACCCCCAAAGAUUAUGGCUUAUUUACAUUCUCUACCACUUUCCAAUUUCUCCGCCGCCGCUUCACAUAACAACACAAGCAUUCGGAUUCUCAUCGCUAAAAAUCUGCGGCGCGUGGGCUUGAAUCGGGUAUCCAUAAGGCCCACCCGGAUAAUACCCGUACCCGUAAGCAGGCUGAGCCGCCAUGUACUCCAUCAUAUUCACUCCCUCACCACCUCCUUUGUUACCGGAUUUCUCCUUUCCACCACCGUCUCCGCCGCCACCUUUCUUCUUCUCGCCAGUUUCGUUACCAUUUUCUUUCUCUUUCUUCGGCGGCACAAUCUCAACCUGACGUUUCAGCUUCUCACUCAAACUCUCAACGAGUUUUUUAACAUCCAUUGUUCCUUUAACAGUCACCAAAUUCUUCUCUUUAUCCAUUGUUAAACCAUCAACACCUGCGCUUCACAAAAACGCUGUUAGCAAGCAAACGAAGCGUUGCCCCAAAAUUGCGUUUUGAAAACGCGAAUCGUACAGAUUUGUCUCUAACCUUUGGUUUUUGUGAUAGUCUUUUGGAUUUUCCCGAUACAACCUUGACAAUGGAAGUUCAGCUUCAAUACCGCCGUUGUUACCGGAGUCUAUAAUAAUCAUUACAAAAUUAGUUGUAAUCAGAAAACAAAGAAACAUCCUCACAUUAUACUAAUCAGCAAACAAAAAAACAUUUUGAGAAUCAGAUUCUUCACAGAUAAAAACAAUAUAGUAAAAACUAAAAAGCAAAGAGAUUUGAUUAUUUAUUUUUGGCUACCUCUUUGGGUUUCUUCUCGUUGUUGUCUGGUUUCUUCUUCUCCUCUGAUUUUUUUUUGUCUUCAUCGUUUUUGUUUUUGUCCUUAUUGUUCUCUUUCUCUUUUUCCUUUUUGGGUUGAGGAGAAACCAAAUCGACUUUCUUCUUUGUCUUCUCUUCAAGUUUCUCCCUCAGUUUCACCGGAUCUAAAGCUCCGGUCACCGUAAGUUUCCCUGUAGCCGACUCCGAUUUCACCGUCUCAACACCUAAAAGACACAUUUUUCAGUAACUCAACCCAACAAAGUAGCGAUUUUCCGAAAACCCAGUAACAGAUUCCGUGGAAUAAGGAUUUUACAACGUUCUGAAUAUGAAAAAUGGAAACUUUUUUGGUAAAUAAUGAAAAAAAUCAAACCUUGGAAAGAACGAACACAUUUGACGAUUCGAGAAGCACAACCUUCACAAUGCAUGUCGACCUUCAAAACGACGGUGAUUGACGGCGUUUCGUUCUUUUUCUUGUUAUCUCCACCUUUCUUCUUGUUAUCUCCUUCGUUCUUCUUCUGCUCAGAAACAAAACAGAGUGAGCAAACGAAACCCAUUAUUAUCCAAAUAAAAAGCAGAGAUUUUUAUGGAGGAAAAACGAGAGAGAAGAUUCGAGAAUGUUGAGAGAAGAGAGCGUUUUUGACUCAGUAGUACCUCGCCCAUGAUGACUCGGUUAGUGAGAGAGUAGUGGGAGAAGGAAGUGGGUAGAGAAAGAGUCGGAGGAAAUGGGAGAGAAAGAUGAAACCUUUCGUUUGUAUUUAUAGUCUUUAACGAAAAUAAUUAUUUUUGGAGUCGGUUAUGAUUUAUGAUGAUGAUGAUGAUGAUGAUAAAUGAGUAAAUGACCAUUCAUCAUGUAUGUUGUAUGCCUAUGAUGGUUUUGGUUAUACAUACGUUUUUGUUUUGUUAUUAUGAUGACUUUUCUGUUAAUGCGACUGUACGUUACAUUUUUUUUUUUUUUUUUUGAUAAACCCUAUCGGCUAUCCGGUCGGCCCCGGUAGGAACACACCGUGGUGCUACAUAGUGGACUGGUCCACCGUGUUAACGGUUAGGCCCUUACGGGCUACCACUCUGUCUAUCCCGAGUUUGGAAUGCCUUCCGACUAAGUUUAUGGUUUGUUACAUGAUUUUAUGGUUUCGGCGUAUAUGCUACGGUCGAAUAUUAAUUUACAUGUAAUUUGAAAAUAAAUAAAAUCAUACAAUUAUCAGUAUCUCAAUUUGGAAGAGGGUAAGAAAACAAUCUCUUCUUUUUCAUAAGUGUUGUCUCGUUCUAAAUUGCCUACAUAUUUUUAUAAAAUUUCCAGACACAGCUAGUUUUUGGUUUUUCGGUAUUUGAGACGUAAACAUUUUUGAUGAAUUGAUGAAGCUCAAAUGCUUACAUAUAUGUUGUUGUUACGUAUCAAAAUUUAAAAGACUUCAUUCAAAUUAACCAAUGCACUUGGUUUUUGAUCGUUUCACAAAAGUGAUACUACGGGCCUAGAUAAGCCCAAAUUGAAAAUAUAUUUGAAGUGUAGAUCAUUUAGUGGGCUGUUGUAAAUUAUUUGAACAGAGAUAUUAGUUUGAGUAUAUAGGCUAAUGGUAUCUCUAUCUCUUUUUCUGCUCGGUCCAUUGUAUAUACGUAAAGAUAAUAGUUGGAUUGAUGCAGAAACAAGAAAAAUCAAGUUGAUAUAAAGUAUCUUGUUUUUUUUUUUCUUUUAUAAUAGGCAACUAUAUUCUUUUAUGAUUUUAAUCUCGUCUAUAAUUAAAGUCUACUUCAGAACCGCAAUGACAACCAUCAUGUAGAUUACAAUAAUCCAUAUACCUGUUUUGUGCAACCAAACAAUCAAAUCGACACAUUGCACAUCUACUACCAGGAAAAUCAGUAUCCUCGUUCUCUGCAUGAUACAUGGAUGGUGGAAUUUGAGGGCUUCCUACAUGGUUAGAAGGAGUUUUUCUUUCUGAAUUACUUUUCUCCAUAACAUCUGAUACACCUAUUAAAAAAAUUAUUUUAAAUAAACAUCAUAUAACUAAAUCAAUAUAUGUACUAUUGAAAAUACAUGAUAUACGCAAUCUCUUCAAUUUAAUCGUGAUAAACAAACUUACAUGAUGAAACAAGAAAUAAAAGAGUAAAAAACAAAAAGAUUGUCCUCAUUUUAUUUUAUUUGGGAAAUUUAUUAUAUAUUUUAGACAGAAAAAGAAAUCGCUUGUCGUUUUAAGUUUUGAACUAGAUUUGAACCCGCGGUACACCGCGGGGCUAUAUUUUUUUUUAAAAAUUAAAAUAUAAAUUAUUUUCUUUAUUAAUAAAGAAAAAUAUAGCCCCGCGGUGUACCGCGGGUUCAAAUCUAAUUUAUUAUAUAUAAUCCAAAAAUGUUUAGAUUAAUUUCUAUAAAUAUUUGUAUUGGCCGUCCACAGCGGCAAGCAGAGAGAGAGACUCAACGUUUUCGACUUUUCGUUACAACAAAACUUCGAAACGCAGAAAAUUAUCCACAAAAAAAAAAAAAAACGUGAAACGCAGAGGGCAAAAAAAAGCGAAUGAAUUAACGCCAGUCCAGUGCCACGUAUGAAAAAAGCUUAGGACCAGAUACGUUAAUCAGAAAAAAAGACCAGGUACGUAAUUUUUUAAAAGGCCAAGCACGUUAGUCCAGCCCACGUGGUAUUUCUUGUCUUAAAACAAAAUUAAUUUAGUAAUCGGACGUUGCAGAGGUAAUCAGAUCAACGGUAGAGAAUUACGACACGUUAUAUCACUCUGCGCAAUUCCACCGCUUUCUGGAAUUAAAAAAAAGAAAGUGUAUAUAAAUAAAAGAGCAGAGGUAAAGCUAUCUAUCUCCAGAGUAGUGUAGAGAGAGAGAGAGAGAGAGCUUCUUUCUUCUCAGAUCUUCGAUUAAUCUCUGUAGUUUUGCGAAUUCCAAAGUAGUGAAUCUCGGAAUCCAUCUGGUUUUAUUCUUGAAUCUUGUAAUUUUAUUCUCGAUUAGAACUGUGAAUAGAAGAUUUCAUCACAAAUCGUCCAUAACCCCAAAUCCAAACGAUUCUAUGUAUGGAUCUAAGGUAAAAUCUGCAAAUCUAUCUUAUUUACUUUUUAAAUCGAUCCCAAUAGAGAACAGAUAUGUUCAUUUAUACUUUUCGUUUCCGUUUCUCUAUCUACGAAUCCCUUAAUCGAUUAGCUAAGUUAAGGGAUAAUUUAUGAUUAACAUGUUUAUAACUUUUCAUUGAUGAUGUAGUUCGAUAUACGUUUUCCUGCUCUACCAUGUUCGAUUCUUAGUGUUGAUGCUAUGGAUAUUAGUGGAGAACUGCUUUGUGACGUGGUAUGUUUGAAAUUGUUCACUGUCUUACUCCAUUGACAAUUUUUGUGUUUGAAACAUGUUUAAGCUUGUGCAAUGUGUGAAUUACAGAAACAUGAUAUUAUAAAGAGAAGAUUAGAUUCAAAUGGCAACACUUUAAGAGGCAAGACAUGACGUAAUAGGCGCUACUAAGGUUUGUUCUCUGUCUUUCUGAACUGGAUAAUCUGUGAUUUUUAAAAUGGAAGAUUGAAACUAUUUCGGUAUGCUUUUCAUUCUAUUCUUUAGGAUUAAGUGAAAGGUCUGAUUCAGUUAGAGUAUUGUUUGCUUUUUCUGAUCUUAGAAGUGUUCGGUUUCAUUGUCCAUGGCUUGUUUGUUAUUAUGUUAAUUUGAUGAUUUUUUUUAAAAUCUCUUCAAAUUAAGUCUCUGAAGUUGGGACAGAAGAACUGAGUCUCUGCAAAACUGAGUCUUAACAAUUACAUCGUACGAAUUAACUAUUUGUGUAUCUAUAGUUAUAACUCGAAUUUUAAAAAACUUUGAUUUUGAAACUGAACCAAUUUAAUUUAUUUUUAUAUAAUUGGAAAAGAAAAGCAUGUUGAUCUUUGUUUUAAAAAAAUAUACACGAAGACAUAUCUAUAAAAUUGAAUUUUAUGUUAAAAGGAAGAGUAUAGUUGUAUGAUGUCUAAAAUAAAAUAAAAUAAGUAUAUUAAUUACAACCUGAGUUGGUUGCUAACGUGUGACCUGCAUGAGUGUUAUAAAAAAAAGAAACAUAUUACUUAGUGAUUGUUUGAAUUCGUAACCAUAUUGAAAUUACUAAGACAUAAAGGUAAAGUGAAUUUACCUUUCCAGAUGAUACAUAGCAAAGACUGACAAUAUUUGAGUCAGUUGAUGUUUUGAAAAACCUCUUUGAAAACAACAUUUGUUGUUUGGUUUUGAAUCUUGCCCUCUUUGUCGAGUAUUAGAAUUUUCAAUCCCGUUUUAGAGGUAACCCUUGACAACGCAACAUAAAGUUGACCAUGAGAGAACACGGGUUUAGGCAAGUAAAGUCCAACUUUCUCUAGAGAUUGUCCUUGGCUCUUAUUGAUGGUCAUAGCAAAUGCAACAGAAAGUGGAAAUUGUCUUCUGCGCAUCUUGAAUGGCAGCUUGGUAUCUGAAGGUGUAAGGAGGAUGUUAGGGAUCAAAACUAUUUCACCAAUUCUGUCUCCUGUGAUUACUCUAGCUUGCACAAUAGUAUUGCCUAGCUGAGUAAUCUGAAGCCUAGUGCCAUUGCACAGCCCACCUUUUGGAUCAAUAUUCCUAAGCAACAUAAUCGGAGCUCCAAUCUUCAAACGUAAAGCAUGGUGUGGCAAACCAGAAAGCUUGAUACUAUUUAAAAAAUCUGGAGUGAUUACAGGAUUGUUCAAUGAAUCCGAAUCUGAUGGAUCAAUACUAUCAGCACUUAGGUAGAUUCUUUCGUCACCUACAAUCAAAUAAUUACAUCAACGUGUACUUAGCUAUAGGUUUUUUUUUAAAAUUGAAAACGUGAUAUAGAUUUGUGGGUAAAAUAGAUGACUUACUUUCCAAAUGCUCUAGCAUAUAUUGGUUUAUUGUGUUGACGUCAUCAUUGGUUGGUGCCAAAAUAGCUCUCCUUUGGAAGAACUUAGGAUCAGUGAUUGUGUGGAGUUGUGAUGGUUCUCCAUAAAUUGCCUUACUGAUUGCUUCUAUUGGUUUUUCUGCUUCUGUAAUCAACAAUUCUUCUGGAAUAUCGAUAAGUGCCUCACCAUCAUUAGGUUCAUUAACUCGACCAUCACCAACAGCCAAUAACCAAUCAGAAAACUCUUGAAUAUCUUUAGCUUCAACAGCACUUAAAUUAUCUGCCAGCAGUCGCAUGUUCUUUGUCAACUUGAGCACCUUGCAGUGAUCCCAAAGAUACGAAGCAUUUAGUGAUGACAUGACAAUUUCUGCCCUCCCUGCCCCAUGUAUUACCGGAAGGACUUGUCUGAAAUCACCUCCAAAUACAACAACCUUACCACCAAAGACUUUGUUUUCUCUAUUCUUGAUAAUAUCGCACAAGCUCUUGUCCAAAGAUUCAAAACAAAACCUGCUCAUCAUUGGCGCUUCAUCCCAGAUAAUAAGAGAUGCUUCUUUUAUCAAAUUAGCAAGAUCAGAUUUAGGUUGGAUUUUGCAAACAGAAAAUUCGUCAGGAUUCAAUGGUAUUGCAAACCUUGAAUGUGCAGUCCUACCACCUUCUAACAACAAAGACGCGAUGCCACUGGAGGCGACAUUAAGAACAAUCUGUCCUCUAGAUCUAAUUGCAGCUGAUAGUGUCUUCCAAAGAAAAGUUUUUCCCGUUCCUCCAAAUCCGUAAACAAAAAAGCUUCCACCUAAAUCAUUAAAAACAGCACCGGUGAUCUCAUCGUAUAUAGCUCUUUGCUCAGCUGUUAGCUUUUGUAUACACUCUGCAUGCAAUUCUUCCAAGUCGGAUUCACGAUUAUAUCUCAGCUCAUCAACAAUUAAACGGUUGGAGUUAUCAAUUCCUUCUCUGGAAGGCUGCGGGAAAUUAUCAAUACCUUGGAGAGUUCCACCAUUAAACAACAUUAUCUUCUCUAUUUCUUGAAGAGUGUAAUUCUUAAUUUCAGCUUCUGUUAGAUUUAAAUCUGUAACGUCAUCAAAGAGAGGUAGGACGAAUUAGUGGAGAAAGAAGAUAGUAUGGAAAAGUUAGAAUAAUGUAAAUAACUAUGAUGACAAUCACACGUAUGGUUACUUAAACAAUUCUUACCUGGAUUGUUAAAAUCUUGUCUCUUCUUUCUCUCAAUAUCCUCCGAUAAAAGCUGCCACGUUUCUGACCAUACGUGUUCCGGUCUGCAAGAGACUCCGAUAAAAUCAACGGACCGAGUCGAUUGCCAGAUAAUCUCCAAAACAAAACUGAGCUGCUUCAUGUAGACCGUCGAUAAAAACUUGAUCGUCGUCUAGAAUUCCACGUGCAAAACAUGCUUCUUUGUAUGAUGGAUAUACAACUCCAUUAAAUGUUUUGAUAUCAUCGUAACUCAUAGGACCUCUUACUAAGUUUAGAAGCACCCUAAGAUAGUACUCAUCUUCCAUCUUUCUAGGGACGUAGUUAAUACGACCCAAAGAAAAGCCUUUUGAUCUCUUUUUCCACUGCUUAUUUUUUCCAUCCCAAAUAAAAUAUGCCGGGAUUUGCGAAUAUAAAAGUUCUCGAGCACGUUUACCAUUUUUUCCAAUAGCAUCUUUCCUAUUCAAAGUCAACCAAGCCAAGAACAUUGAAUCUUCAUUGCUUAUACGUUCGAGAACCUCAUCAAUCUGAGCCUUUGGAUCGAAAUAAGCUGGUUGUUUCCCUUUGUCAUGGAAAGAUAAUCUCUGGACUGCGGUAGAUCUAUGCUGAAGUGGAAACUUGUAAAUCCUCCAAAUUGCCUCUGACGCUGAUACAUAUCUGUAAAAAUAGAAUUUCAAAAGGGAGCAAAUUUAAUAGUAAUACACUAAAAAAAAAGACAAAUAUUGUAUGUAUGAAACUUACCUACAGUCAAACCAAUCUUUGAUUUCAUUCUUCUUUUUCUCACCACUACUUGGCUCUACUCCAGUAGUGGUAGCUUCAGUUGUUGUACCCUGAUUUACUCCAGUAGUGGCAGCUUCAGUUGUUGUCGCCUGAUUUAUAGGCUCAACAAUAAAGACAACACGAUCCGGACCUUUGUUAAUAUACUUAAAUAAGUAUUUGAUGGAACCAUUCUGAUUGCACCAUUCGACGUUGAUAUGAGCUUGAUAUCGAACUGAAAGCUUCUUGUUGUAAGGCACAACAUAAGUAUUAUCACAUUUAAAACCUCCUUUCUCAACGUAGUCUUCUGUCUUCCUUCGUCUAUAGACGGGAUAACCAUCCUUACCAACCUUGGUAAUAUCUUGAUGUUUUUUCGGAUAUUGCUUUGAACAUUCACCAUCUACCAUACAUGGGGAAUUCUUGUUUGCUGCACCGCAUGGUCCGUGGAUCAUAGAAUUCUUGAUUACUUCAUAUAGCUCUGGUUCUUUCUCUUUAUCAGGAAUCUCUGCGCAAAUGAUCUUAUCGAUGUCGUCAGCUGUUGGUAGUUUGCUUUUGGCAUCCAUGAAUAAGAGAAUAUGAGCAUGUGGUAGUCCUCUUUUCUGAAAUUCAACAGUAUACAUAGCUGCAAUAAUACAAACGAAUAAUAAUUAGGAUAAAGAAAUAUAAAGUAAGAUUAAUUUAGAGUAGAGAAUUAGUUGACGAAAUGAUUAAAUACUUACAUGCCACUGUUUUCCCAAGCAUAUUCUUUUUUGUUAAAUCUUCCAUUAAAGAAUCCAACUUGAUUUUGAAAAUCCUUGCAACAAUAUCCGGUCGAUCAUCUGCAGAUAGACCUCUUUCUUGGCAGUAUCUAGUUAUCUCAGGCCACUUUGGAUUACAUGUAAACGUGAUGAAUAGGUCGGGAAAACCGUAAUGCUUACAGAUGGCCAUUGCAUCAUAGUAGCUUUGAACCAUAUAUCGAGGUCCACCAGUGAAAGAAGAUGGAAUUAAAAUUUGAUUACCUUCUUCAUUCAUAUUUGUUGUACCUGAUUCCGCAGCCUUUUUCAAAGAGCUAUAGUUCUCACAUCGUAGCUUAGACUGAUUAAACUUGAUAUAAGAGAGUCUGUUAGAUUCAAUAGUUGUAUAAGCAUCACAUAGAAACUGCUGAAACAACCUCUUUGAACGUAGCAAAGUUUUACACUCAUGUUCCCUCUCUUGAAUCCUGAAUGCAAACCAUUGUCUCAUGCUAAUACACUUCUUCUUCUUAUUGUUGGUUGUCUUAUAACAUUUCUCUAUACCCGGCCUGUAACCAUCUUCACCAUAGCACAAAAUUAGAGGAUAUUGUAGAGCCAAAUAGGAAAUAUGAAUUUGGCUAAUCCUCGUUAGGUGACCAGUAGUCUUUUCUUGAAGUACUAUAUCACGGUCAUACAUCUUUUUAUGAAAAUCCCCAGGGAUUAAAGCGGCUACCUCAGAUGAUGAAGGCAUACUGUAUGUCCUCCCAUCAACACCCUUGCGAUCAGCAACGAUACGCAUGUGAAACGGCUCAUCAUUAUCAGACUGAAUCCUCUCUCUGGCGGCUCUGAAUUUUUCAACAUAAGGGUUAACUUCGUCGAGCAUUUUCAUUAGUGCUUCAAUUACUUCUUUUUUCAGUUUCUGUUUUCCUGAUGUUUGGUUUGAAUUUUUCCCCUUGCUGCAUAGAUAGGAAAUAACAAAAGUUAAAUUAGCAGAUUAGAGUGAAAUUAAAGUUUGCUGCAAAUAAAGUGAAAGAAGAAUGAUUACUUGAUGACGGUAGCUCUGUUUUCUACUUCGUUUUCUGUAUCAACUAUGUAUAGUUGUGAGUACUUAGCAUAAUCACCUGGAUUAGGUUUUAAACUACCGAUCAAAUGGUAGUUUCCACCUUGCAAACGAAACAUGUUAGGCCCUUUACCUUUUGGCAUAGACUUGUCCACUCUUCCACCAAGGGAAGUCAUUGCAAAAAUCAUAUUAUAUAAUCUUAUAUUCUCUCUGAAAUUUCUGCUUAGUGCGUCAUCACCUGUAAGAAGCUUUAUGAUAAGCUCAGGUGAUUCUUUAAGAAAAGGUAACUUAACACUGCCUUGCCCACAACAUAGGGUAAACGUCGGCUCCUUUUGCUUCAGAGUUUUGUUUAUUCUCUCAGCAUACCACAUAAGUGCACCACAAUACUUACAUUUGUAUGUUGCAUCACCGUGAUCAAGAUAAACUGGUGGAAAUAGAAUUGAAAGCAUUAAUUUUUAAAAUAAGAUUCAGAGAAUUAUAAUUGUUGGUACGCUCUUCAAAAAUCAUAUACCUGAUUUAUUUUGUUUGGCUGGUGCAGUUUUAGCAUUCUUAUUCAAUCUUGGCCGACCUCUUUUCUUUGGUUGAGGGAUAUUCUGAUUUGUGGCUGCCUUAUCAAUAGUUUCCUUCACUUUUUUUUCAAGCAUCGCCAUGAAUCUAACAUGUUCUUCAUAUCCUGUUCGCUGGUGUGAAAUGAUAUUUGGUCGUUCUGUUGUUUGUCCAACUACACUUUCUGGUUCAACUAUUUCGAUUGCUUCAUCAGACUCAUGAUCAGUUUCAUUGUCAGUCUGACUGAGAUAGUAGUUCUGUUCAAAAUCGGUUUCAUUGUCACUUGAACUCGCAUAGUUGUUAUGGUCCAUGUCUUCAUAAUCGCUACUAUCAAAUCUGUCUUGUUCCAUGGUGACAGAUGCUUGAGCUAGUUGAUUCAUAGUAUCAGAUUUAAUGAUUAUAGAUGAAAUUGAGUAGAUUAAUAAAUUUAAUACCUAGUAAUACAAAAUUCUAAUUCAAUAUUACCUUGAAUGUUAGGCGAGUUUGAUGCAUUUUCAAAAUCGUCUUGUAGAUUUUUCCUUGGAAAACUAUAAACUUGUGUGGUAGGCGUUGACUGUUUCUGAUUGCUUAUGCAUGAAGUAGGAGCAGCAGAUUGGAGUGCUUGACAACAAAUAGUUCAAAUCCAAUUAGAUCUCUUAGGACUUAAAGUUAUACAUUACUUUAUUUUAAUAUAAAGGGUGAAUAUUUACCUUUUGCUCUCUGAGUUGUAGAAGUACUUCCCUGCAGUCCUCGGUGUUCAUGAUGCUCAAACAGGAGAGGGACAUUGGUGAUGUCUUUGAGGACACUUCUUGAAGAUUGCUGCAAGCCUGUUAAGCAGUUUUGCUGGAACAUUGAUGCCAGCCCAGAAGCAGCACUUGAACCUGUUUUAAAGGUAAAACGUUAAGAAGAAAACUGUUCACGUGGAAUUAAACUUUUUAAGCUUUUCCAUUAAAAAUUAAGCAGCAGGUGUUAAACAGGAGAUUACCUUUCUCAGUUUGUGUUUUUUUUGUAGUAAAGGAUUGCUGCUUAACAGAUGGUGUCAGGAAAUUACAAACAGAGCUAUUACUCAGGUUGGUAAUAUCUUGCAAAACUCUACCAAAAGCUCUUGUAAGAGGAACAGAUCCAUUAUUAGUAGAUCUAUUAGCUUGAGUUAUUUGACUCUGUGGAGUAGAGCUUUGAUUGAUUCUAAUCCUUUUUGAUGGAUUAGAAUUAGAGUCGAAAUCUGAAAGAGCUGAAUCUGGUUUCUUUUUCAUGGUUGGUUGUAAUUUCAACUGAGGUUUUGAUUAAUGUGUCGACGACUGCUAGGCUUACUGAUAUACUUCUAACACAAAACCUAGACAUUAAAAGACAGAUUUUGUAGUUAUUUGUUAAUAUUUUAUUGUUGAGUCUCUGCAAAUUAUUGCUAUAAUGAAUCAUAUCAAUUAAGUAGCUAUGGUAUGUCAUAUUUUACAAUCCAUGUAUAUUUGUAUAUACUUUACAUUUAAUUUAUGACAAGUAAGCUUGGUAAAAAGUACGUUUUCCUUUGGUUUUUUAUAGAAUAAAUAAUGUUAAGUUCUUCAUCUGUAUCAGCAUGUCUAUAAUUUUUUGCAGGGAAAGCGUGGUAUAGAGAAGUAGCCGCUCCACCUUCCUGAUAUCAUUGCUGCAACCAGUUCUGUGAAAAUUAGACAGGUAUAUUGUCAAAUAUCUCAGUGUUAUGUUUGAUUUCUAAGUUUGUUAUCCACAUAUUUAGUGUGUGUGUUCUUUUCUUUCGUUCUCCAGGUUGUUAACACACAAUUGGAUCAUGAGUGAAUCUUGAUGAACAGGAGUCAGCAAACAGUGAUUCACCACCAGGUUUAAUUCAUACACGACAUUUAUAUUAUAUAAGCUAAAUAAUCACUGAAACAAAACUAAUUUUAUUGAAGCAUCAGAACUUAUAAAUAGAUGUGCUUGAAAGCAGCACUUAUUUCAAACAACUGCAGAAAACUGAAAAUAAAAAACAUAACUUUAAAAGGUUCAAACAACACAGCAUCAGAUUACUUCUUUUCUAUCUUCACCUUAACGCCCAUCAGAUUCUUUGAGAACUCACUCAAAGAAUUCGUAACUGAACCUCCACGAUCUUGACCUUCUUGUUUCUCAUCCCCAUCCUUGAUGGUAGGCUCUUUGGAUUGAGCAUCAGCCUUAGGUUUCUCAUCCCCAUCCUUGAUGGUAGGCUCUUCGAACUGAGUAGCAGCUUUCUUUUUCUCAUUCCCAUCAUUGAUAGUUACCUCUUCAACUCGAGAAACGCUGCCUCCAUCUCCAAACUCUGGAUUAGACUUUCCCAAGUCUAAGGGAUCGAUACACAACUUCUUUGAGCUUGAUGAUUGAUCUGGAGUCCCAGCAUCAAGAGCAUAAACACGCUUGGACGACGGUGUAAUCGAGUCCAUAGUUUCCUGGCUAUUCUCCAACAUGAGUGGUGCCUGCAAGAAGAAAGUUAAAUAGCUGCUGGAUUAAAUCUAUCUAAUAUCUUUGAACAGAGAUUUGAGUUUAUAGGUUACCUCAUCACCGGAGACCAUUGAUGCUGCAUUCACCAUAUCACCAGAAAAUUCAAGAAGUUGUUCUUCGAGAAGACCACCGUUCGAUAGGACCUUGAAAACCUUAAAGAUUUCCUUACCAGCCCAAAUGUGUUCUUGCUCAACACAUACCAGAAAUAGAAAAGUCUUUCCAAUAAGAUUUUUAACUGGAUCUGGUAAAUUUUCUGGGUCCACGAUCUACAAUAUAGAAGAUUUUUCAUUUAGUCAAAUGACAAUGUGUAUUACUCAACAUAUAACGAUUAAACUGUUUAGAUAUGAGACAAACUUACCUCAUCAACACUGCCAUCGAGCACAGAUGUAGCAGUUUCACCAAUGAGUUCUGAACAUAUGGAAUCAAACAUCAGCAACUUUGCCUCUCCAGUGUUGUCCAUGACUUGAGUGUAAAGCAUGAACCUGAAACGAAUAUAGAAACUGACAGAUUAAAAUUGUUCUAAAAGAAUCUGACUAAUUGCGUUUUAUAAAGUGUCUGUUCUUGAUGAAAAAAAAAAAAAGUGUCUGUUCUUUUUCAUUACCUUGAAACAACAUUUGUGACAACAGUUUUGCAAAUAUCACACCAAAAUCUUGGUUUUUUGCCUUUGUUAUUCACACCAUUCACUCCAGCAUGGAUAUGAUUAACCUUCCUAUUGCACUUGCGACAACUAAUGUAAUACCAAGCCCAGUCCGUAUCAAUGGCAUAGAGCGUACACAGAAGCCUAACCUUUCCAAUCUAGGAAAAAAUAUGGAUAACAUUAGCAUACAUGUUAAUGUAGAGUUCGUAAGAAAAAUAUACCUCUGUAGAAUUCUUCAGCUGAGAGAUUGUUUUCCUUGGAAACUCAAGAUAAUCCUCAUCCUUAACAGUUAUCAUCUGGCGUCUUGGUUGUCUCUCACGAAAACUGAGUCUUAGACCAUCAUCUGGCAAUCUAUAAAUGCAAAGAUUGAUGUAGUUAGUAUUAAAUCAGAAUUAAGUUUACAAAAUUAAAAGAAUACAAAUAGAGUAGUUAACCAUACCUUUGGGUGAAAACAGCAACUUCAUUCCAUGGUGGGUUCACGUGUACUUGAGUCACAUCAAAAGAGUUAGAUAAACCCAUAACACCUGUAUGGCACAAAAUUAUACAAAGGUUCAAUAAGUAUUUUCCUUUUAAUUAAGUAUAAGAAAAUUAUACUAAAGUAUGUACCCUUGAAGGGUUUGAUUUUCACAAAUCUUAGGAUGCAGACCACAAUCCUUCCAUCAGAAUUUUGACAGGCAUUAAAAACCUGUUCAGCAAAUUUGCCCCAGAGGGUACAUGCUAUCCUUUCAUCACUAAGAGAAAAUAAGAGUAUAUGUAUCAGUCAAAAUAGUGUAGUUCAACUUAUUGGUUCAAUAAGAUCAUAUGAAAAUAUUUAAAACACUUACGUUUCAUCGCGAAUCUCAAACUCAAUUUUGGUAGUUGGUUUGUUUUUUGCUUCGAGAUUUUCCAACUCUCCAAUAGUAACAAUCUGUCCUAUGGCAUCUGCAAAUUCAAAAUUCAGUUAUUAAACAUAAUUAAGGAUUCAACGAAACAUUACUUCAUUGCUAGUUCACGAUUUAAAAAAACACAAGAGUUGUUACUUACCGACCAAGUAUGGAUUGAGCUCACCACUUUGUAUCUUACUAAACUUUGCGAGUGUCAAAAAGUUAGAAUCUGACUUUGGUUCACAUGGAAUGAUGUUCGUCCCUGUUUGGAAUGUCAUCUUGUAGAGGUGUUGAGUAGGUCUGUAUUGUCCAGUUGCAUAGUUGAGGCCAAAAGUCUCAAUGAAGACCCACUCACCAACUUGAAGCUCAUUAACAUACUUGCUCACCAAGUCCUUCCUAACAGAACAAUGAAUUUUUUUUCCCUAUAUUGAAUAGGAAUGAAGUUUUGUUUUAGUAUAUGUACGUAGAAGGAUAAAAGUAAUUAUUUGAAAAUACGUAGUUGUAAUAUGUUUACCAGUUCGUCAGAGAAUACAAUCUCUAAUGUUUCACCGGUGGAUUCUAGGUAUUGACGCCAAGCGUGCAAAACCUUGACUUGAACCCUCCAUGAUGCCUUGUAUGGGCGGACGUCUUUGAGGAAAGCGAAGGUAGUAGCCAUUUGGAAGAGAGGAAAGGUAUGCUAAGUAUUGUUAUAUGAUUGUAAGCUCUCGGUUUUGGUGAUGGAAAAACAGGUGUAGGUGUAAAGUAUUUAUAGGAAAGUAAAUUAGGUUUCGUGUAUUCAUAGGUUACUCUCCAAAAAUAAAAACGAUGCAUAUUUUGUGGGAUACAAUCUUUGAUAUUAUUGUUUUUUUGGGAUAUGUUAGGAUCAAUUUUUUAUUUGGUAAUUAAUAUGGUUUAUAUAUUUCGUUAAUCUAGAUAGAUAUUUUAGGAAAAAAUUACUUGAAGUUCAAGUAAUGGAGUGUUUAAAUAGAAAGAGAUCUCGGCAAUCUUGGAAUGUCGACAAUAUCGGCAUUAAUUUUCGAAACACAGUAUUAUUCUUAGUUAAGUUUCAGAGAUUUUAGGAAGAUUGAAUGGAAAAUGUUGCUUAAGUAUAGUAAGUAAUUGUUUAGGUAAAUAUUUGGAGAUUGGGAAGUUUAGAUUUUAACCAUAAUUAAGAUUAUUUAAACAUUCGUGGUUUUGCGAAAGGCCUAACAAAAUUAACUUGUUUUACGAUGGGCCAAAUAUUGGGCCUUGUCCUUUCUUUCACUUAAUUGUCGAGACAGUAUCCGAUUUCUGAAUCCGGGUCGCACGUAAUUAAAAAAACCCACCCAACCAAUGGCAUUCUUUGUAAAUACAUUCCAACUCCAGGAUUUAUUUGCUAAAAGUCAUCCAAAAAUGUAUAUAUAGAUGUGAAGUUACUGAUGCCAAAUGGUAUCAUAUUUAUAUGUACUUGCAAAACGUUAUCCUUUUGGAGUAUAUUUCUGUUACAGAAAAGUUAAUGGUCUUAUUAACGGUUUUCUUAUAAAUGAUAGUUACAAAAACUAUACUCGUAAGUAAUUCUAAAUUACUGUUUAGUUUAAAACUAUUAAUUAAAUCAUAGCCAUUAGCCCAUUACAAUUAGUUAUACUGUAUAUAUAUUUUUUAUAUAUAUAUAAACACCAUUUAGAUUUAGUAAUCGAUAUAUUUGUAAUUCAAGAUGAAUGUUUUACUUUUCGUUUCCAUGUUUAAAAGUUUUUUUUUUUUGUUUCAGCCCAACAACUUUAGAUGGAUUUGUGUUGCCUAUAUCAAUCGUAAUUUUGUAUCUUAUUUAUCGAAAAAGUAGACAUAAUGAGUUCAUAAAGUGGACAUCAUCAAAAAUUGAUCAUAAACAAAUUUCGAACCUAGAUUAUGGCCUUACUGAGCCCAGUUAGAGAUGUCCAAUUUUUAUUUUCUUGUUAUCUGGGGUUUCGCCACAAGUGAAAAACAAGUUUUCUUAUUGUUGCUUUCAGAAUUUUAGAUUCCUCAAAAUAGUAACUAGAACACGCUUUUAGAUUUUUACUGAAAAAGGAUAUAUGAUGUUGUUAAUUUGUUUAUUUAUUUAAUGAUUGUUUAGGAGAAGUUGCAAUGUGAGGGGACCUUAUUUGAAAAGAACUACAACGACAAAUAUGUUGUGGAAUACUACAGAAUACCAUUAAUCUAUGUUUUCUUAAACAACGCUCUGGACAUAACAUAGUACAUUCCUCAGGAAUAAAAUAAUUUCUGUGUCUUCGACUUCGAAAAUGCACAUAUGGCUGAUUUUGAUGGCUUUCUCCGUGAUUAGAAAAGGGAGUUUUUCUCUCUGAAUCAUGUUUUGCCAUAAGAUUUGAUACACCUAUUAAAAGUAUCAAGAAAAGUAUAGAAAAAUUUAAUCAAUAUAUACAUUGUUAGAAACAGAUGAUAGAUAUAUUUUUUUUUUAUCUCACUUGAUCGAUAAUAAACUUACAUGGUGAAAUAAGAAUAAGAAGAGUGAAAAACGAGAAAAGUGUCUUCAUUUAAAAGAAAAACGUUUGAAAAUUCGUUUUAAAAUUUGAGUUUGAAGUUAUUGAANNNNNNNNNNNNNNNNNNNNNNNNNNNNNNNNNNNNNNNNNNNNNNNNNNNNNNNNNNNNNNNNNNNNNNNNNNNNNNNNNNNNNNNNNNNNNNNNNNNNNNNNNNNNNNNNNNNNNNNNNNNNNNNNNNNNNNNNNNNNNNNNNNNNNNNNNNNNNNNNNNNNNNNNNNNNNNNNNNNNNNNNNNNNNNNNNNNNNNNNNNNNNNNNNNNNNNNNNNNNNNNNNNNNNNNNNNNNNNNNNNNNNNNNNNNNNNNNNNNNNNNNNNNNNNNNNNNNNNNNNNNNNNNNNNNNNNNNNNNNNNNNNNNNNNNNNNNNNNNNNNNNNNNNNNNNNNNNNNNNNNNNNNNNNNNNNNNNNNNNNNNNNNNNNNNNNNNNNNNNNNNNNNNNNNNNNNNNNNNNNNNNNNNNNNNNNNNNNNNNNNNNNNNNNNNNNNNNNNNNNNNNNNNNNNNNNNNNNNNNNNNNNNNNNNNNNNNNNNNNNNNNNNNNNNNNNNNNNNNNNNNNNNNNNNNNNNNNNNNNNNNNNNNNNNNNNNNNNNNNNNNNNNNNNNNNNNNNNNNUUAAACAUCAUUUAAUUUUUUCCUUUUUAAAUAAUACUUUUAUUUAAAAGCUAUAUAAUUCAAGUCAAUUUAAAAAUUUCUUUUAAAUGGUUCCCAUAAGAUAUAUAUACAUAUAUAUAUAUUAAAUUUGUAUAGAGUUGAAAUAAUAUUAAUAUUACAAACUUUUUAUAUAAUUUAAAUAUUAUAAAUAUUUUUAAAAAUAUGCAAUAUAUAUUUUUUGUUAUUGAAUAAGAGGAUAUUAUGUGUAAGAAAUGUAGAAAAUAAGAGUUUAAUAUUUUUAUUAUGGAGUCGCAAGAAAAAUCUUUUAUUUCUAUACAUGUUAUUCGUUUAUUAAUAAUAAAAGAAAACAAAUCCUUUAAAUUAGAUAUUAACUAAAAUAAACGCACCAUAAUUACUUAUUAAGUAACAACCAAUAAAUUUCACCAAAAAAUAUGUAACAACCAAUAAAUUCUAAACGCAGUAAUUAAAGAAUGAGAUAUUAAAAAAAAAUAUCAAAUAAGAUAUAAGAAUCUUAAAAUAAUUGAAUAUCUAAAUAAUUUAAUUGUUAGUGUCGAUUUUAAUGCCUUCAUUAAUGUGGAUUUUUUUUUAGAGAGAAAUAUUUCCUAAAGAUUAUCACAUUAAUGACUCAGAAAAUUAAGGAAGAUAUGAAUUUAUGAUUCUCGAAAUCGUGUUGGUAAUAUCUUUAAUUAAUAUUUUUCAAAUUUAAAUAAUUAAUGCUAAUGGCAUUCAUCUGUAAAUACAUUCCAACUCCAGGAUUUAUUUGCUAAAAGUCAUCCAAAAAUGUAUAUAUAGACUAGAAUUUAACCCGCGGUACACCGCGUGGCUAUAUUUUUUUAAAAAAUAUAAUAUUAUUUUUUAAAGAAAGUGGUUUUACAACGUGAUUAGUCAAAGUGUCGAGUGUCGACGUAGUUUUCAAUUUGCAGGCAGACAGGAUUGGUUUUUGCACCAAACCGAAGACAUUAGAGAAUUUUUUGGUUUAGAAUAUUAAUCCUACAAACCAAAUGUUAACAGAAGAUGCUUAAAAGGAUUAUUAUUAGAAAUAGGUUGGAUCGUGAAACGAAUGAUGGGAAUUGGAAAUUACACAACUUUGUUCUGUUAUGCAAUAGCAAUAUUUGCAAUUUCGGUAUGAGUUAAAAGACCGGAAAAAGAAAUUAAACCAGCACCGGCCAACAAAUGUAGAAAACCGACCAGAGGCUCUUGAUUUUAACGCAGUCGUUUUCGGGAUACUAAAAAACCUCAUGUGGAUGUGAAGAAUGAGAUUUUAAUUUAUAUAAAAAGAUGUAAACUUCAAAAUUGGGUUUUACUUUCCAAGACAUCUUCACGUGAUGUUUUUCUAUAUGCUCUCUAAAAUAUAUCUUUAUAAGUUAUAAAUUUACCAUCAAAUUAUUAAAAAUAACAAUGUUAUUUUAUCCGCGAUUACCCUAUUUUUUUUUUUUUGAUAAAUCCUAUCGGCUAUCCGGUCGGCCCCAGUAGAAAUGCACCGAAAUGCUACAUAGUGGACUGGUCCACUAUCUUAUCAAAAACCCUAUCGGCUAUCCGGAUGCUUGGGCCGAUCACCCUAUCUUAUCAAAAACCACAUAGCCAUACGCAUUUAUUCAGAAUUGGUUGUAUCCAAUUCUCAACAUUUGGUCUAUAAUAGAAUUUAUGUGGUAUAUAUUCAUAAUGUAUUGAAAAUUUUGCAGCUUGCGAAGGUUUAAAAAGUAAAAAAAAAAUUACCUGCACUACUACUCCCCAAUAUUUACCAAUUUACCACGGUCCUUUACUUCACUCGAAUCAUUUCCAAGAAGCCCAUAUAGGUUCGGCCCAUUAUAUCGUGUCUCAGUGGCAUUUUUGUACUUCGUCCAUUAAAUAUAGUCAAAGAAAGUCUUUGACGCAAAUUUUAAAUUCAAUUAAAAAAAAUAGUUUUAAGUUUCUUCUCCAAAAGCGAGCGAGCGAGAGAGAGAGAGAGAGAGAGAUCCGAUCCAAGGCCGGAAAAUAUGGCGGAGCUGUCUUGCCUUCAGAUCCACGAUGCUAACGACGCCGUUUUCAACCAUUACCACCACCAACGGCGGCUACAUGAUCACCUGAGAGAUCAAUCGUUUUCUCAGAUCCUCUAUCCGCUUCCUCACUGGGUCCAAUCAGACGACGGCGAUCUCUACGUCUCUGAAUCCGAUUUUUCUCCCGGCGACGUUUCGGUUUCCGAUUUAGUAUUCACGGCAGCCGACGGUCUUGAUCUACUCGAUCGGCGUAGCUUUGUCAUGGAUUUGUUCCACCAACGCGUUGAACAAUCUCAGGUAUGUCCGCUUGAUGAUGACGGAAUCGACGAUUUCGAAAAUUACGAGAUGCGUGGGGAUAAUGUGGAACUUGAUUUUGGAUUGGAGUUAGAAUCUGGUUUCGUUGAUAGUGAUCUUGUUGUUAACCUUAAUGAACACGAUUUCGUUGAUGGGAUGAGGUUAUUAGGGAUUGAGUCACGCGAUGUUAUAGUUACUGUGGAAUCGGGUUUUGAUUCUGAUGAUGAAGAUGAUCAAGAGAAGGAUGAGAGUGAGAUUUGGGGAAUUGAUUUGAAUGAAGAAGAUGAGUAUGUGAAUGAGGAGGAUGAUGAAGAAGAAGAUGUUAGUGUGACAAUUCCUCUUUGUUGGGAUUCACUUCAAUUGGAAGAUUUAGGAAUAAACAACGAGGAAUUCGAAUGGGAAGAAGUUGAUGGUGAUGAUGAGAGGGAGGUUUCAAGCGUUUUAGAUGAUAACAAUUCGGUAUCAGUCUCUGUCUCAGCCACGAUCUCUUUAGAAGAUUUGGCGAUAAGUGAGAGAAGGGGGAGUAGUAGUUUAGGGUGGGAAGUUUUGUUGAAUUCUCGUACUCUCGAGUUUAAUCUAGAUGAUUCAGAAAGCAACUUGGAGUUAUACAUUGGUGAUAUUGAUCAUGAAGAAGAAGAUUAUGAAGAUUAUCUUCAUACAACAGAGUAUGAGAUGUUGUUUGAAGCUGAGAUCUCAUCUGGUAUUGGUAAGCCUCCAGCAUCCAAAUCAUUCAUAAAGAAUCUAAAAGUGUCUCCUCUGACCAAUGAAGAUGUUAUGGAGAAUGAUGAUGACGCGGUGUGUUGUGCGGUUUGCAAAGAAGAGAUGAAUGUAGGAAAGGAGGUUGCAGAGUUGCCUUGUAGACAUAAGUACCAUAGUGAAUGUAUUGUUCCAUGGCUCGGGAUUAGGAAUACGUGUCCUGUUUGUCGUUUCGAGUUGCCUUCGGAUUGAAGACUUAAGCAUGGCCGGUUUUCAAGACCCUGGAAGUUAGGGUUUACAAGAUGAAGAAGAUGAUGACUUACUUGUGUAAUUAAUAGGAUAUAACUUGACUUGCGGGUCUUAUUAGAGUUAGAGCCAGUAAAAAAUAUUUACAUUUUGUUGUAUGAACAAAAUUUUGUUUUGUUUGCCCCUCUUAAAUUGAAAAUUUGUUACCUUUUUCAUAAUAUUCUUAUGUUCAACUUGUAUUACAAACCAAACUUUUAUUGGGAUAAUUAUUGGAGACUAACACUUGAAAAAAUACUAAGCUAUACGGCAUAAAAUCAUUUUUAAACUAGCACAUUUUGAUGAUAUUGACGACAUUUAGUUUCAGUAAUAAUCUUCGUAAAGAAUAUUCUGUGUUGUGUCAUUUAAUCACCCAGAGAUUCUUUUGCCUCAAUGGGUUCAGGUUGGUUCAGACGAAACUUUGCAGAAAAGAGACUUAUUGUCCGUUUCUGGAAACAAGACAUUGCCUCUCCGUAACGUUAAUCACCAUUUUUGUUAGCACUUUCAAAGCUGUUAAGCAUCAUUAUCUCUCUUAAUUGUGUUUGGUUUCUGCUUUAAGCCUUUCAUUGGCCUUGAAAUUCAAGAUUAUUCCUUAAUCUCAGUUUGGAAACAACGCAUUAAUGAGUUUUUUUUUUUACUUUAUUGCGGUAGGUUGUAUUUGCUAUCGCCUAUCGGCAUUAUUUUCUUCUUAUAUGAUUAAGAUCCAAUUACCAAAAAGGAAUUAAGAUAACAACUUUAUACAAUUAGCAUUGUCUUUGUACAAGUAGGUACAACAGUUUGAUUAACUUACGCUAAUGGUACUAAUUUACGCUAAUGGAACAUCAUCUUGAAUCGUUUCACAUUUUCUUUUUUAUCUACUUUUAAAGAAAUUAUAUAAUUCCUAGGAUUUUCUAAAUUGACGAAUAGACUUGGAACAGUAAAAUUGCGAGUGAAAAUAGCUAAAAACGUGCAAGUUAGCAUCCACCGACCUAUUUCACGAAGAAGUCCUUCUGAUGACAAACAUUAUUGUAUUACACACGAAUUAGCUUACGUCGGAUUCGCACAUAAUUGAAAAGAAAAAACAAAAGAAAGAAUAAUUAAGUUGUAUAUAUCUAAUACAUUCAUCUCCCUUUUAAGAAUUUUAAAUGAUUAAAACAAAAUUUUUAUGGAUUGUUUUUGUUAAUCGAUCAAGUUAAAUGUGACCAAACGGCUCAUCAUAUAUAAAAUUUGCAAAACAAAGAAAAUAAAAGGACUUGAAAAGGAGGUUAUCGUGAGAAACAAUAGACUAACCUUGACAAAGAUGUAAAUAAAUGAGAUUUUGUCAAAAAGUAUCACUAGAUAGUUUAGUUUGUGGAAAGUUUUAAUUGGUAGGCAAAAAAUGUAAAUACAUUUGUCCUCAUGCAAGUAAAUUUGUUUGUCAUUAUAAAGCAUCCAUCAACCUUAAGUAUGAACCUACACAAAUCUUUUGUCUCUUCUCUCAUUCUCUAUCUUCCUCAUUCUCACUCGCUCUAGUUCUAUCACUCUCCCUAUCCUCUCGAUCUCUCACUUUUGACGUUUCUGAUUUCUGCAUCACAGAGAAUUCAGUUUGAUGAUUAGACAUCUAAAACCCUACAUGGAGUCGUCUAGUGUCCAUCGCUCUCAUUGUUUCGAUAUUCUUGAUGGAGUCCCACUACAGGACGAUCAUUUCAGCUCGGCAUUCCUACCAAACACUGACUUCAAUGUCCAGUUGAAUUCCAUAUCGACCCGCAACAACAAUCAGUCUCACUUAGACCCAAAUGCAGAAAACAUUUUCCAUAAUGAAGGUCUAGCUCCAGAAGAAAGGAGGGCAAGAAGAAUGGUCUCUAACCGGGAAUCUGCAAGAAGGUCACGUAUGCGCAAAAAGAAGCAGAUCGAAGAGCUGCAACAACAAGUUGAACAGCUCAUGAUGUUGAAUCAUCACUUGCAUGAGAAAGUCAUCAACUUGUUGGAAAGCAACCACCAAAUCCUGCACGAGAACUCACAGCUGAAAGAGAAAGUCUCUUCCUUUCACUUGCUCAUGGCAGAUGUGUUAUUACCCAUGAGAAAUGCAGAGAGCAACAUCAAUGACCGCAAUGUGAAUUAUCUAAGAGGAGAAACUUCAAACCGUCCCACCAACAGUUCCUUUGGUAAGUAAAAUAAAGUUUCAUGAUCCACUCUUCUAGUUCUUGGUGUGUUUACUAAAAAAGUCUGUAGUACUAUGAUAGAUGCAUAUAUGUGACUAGUGACUAUUACACUAGCAAUUACUUGAAUUUGUAUGUAGAUAAUGGAUAACAACAAUGCAGUAGCUAUUAUUGUUUAAUAUCUACUUGUUUCACAUGAUUGGUCUAAAGAAGCAAAUCAACUUAAGCAAAAGGUUCAACAAACAUUGUUAACACCAAAAACAGAACAAAAAAACUAAAUGGGCAUAUCUGGUUUCUUGCCAACAUCACAAGUAUCCUCUAAGACAGUACCUCCAUUGGAGAUUUCACCAUUGGGUAUCUCUGCAGAAGCUGAAUCAAUGACCUCUUCUUGUUCUUCUUCUACAUCUCCUACUUCUUCAACUUCUUCUUCAACCUCUUCUACUUCUUCCAUUUCUUCUACUUCAUCUUCUUCUUCUUCUUCGAUGCAUUGUGGCGGGUCUAGAAACGAAGCAUCCGGGUCUGCAUACCAACGUGCACAAGGCCACCUGAAAGAAAUAUCCAAAACCCAAGAUAAACAGUAUUAUCAUCCAAAAAUACGAAAACUUAUGACAAAAACCUCUGUUUUAUACACCAAUCUGAUUACUUACACGCUUGAACAAAUGGUUUCACCAUCAAUUGUUGUUGUCUCCUCAUAUUCAUCCACUGAAACAAAAAAAGAUCAAAUUUUUUAUGAAAUCUUAACCACAAGAACAAGAAUGAGACUAAUAACCUUGAGAGAAGUGCUUAUCCAUGAGAUACUUCCUAAAGUCAGCUUCAUAUCUUCGAUACUUCUCAGCAUACUCAUCGCUAUCCAGAUACCUAAGAAUGAAAUUGGUAUUUGUGAACAUUCAAUUUUAGGUUCUUCAAUUGCACCACAAAGAAAAGGAAGCAAAAUUACUUGUAAAAGGAUGGUUCUUCAACAACCAGUUGAUCUGUUAAAAUUCUGUUGCUAUUCACAAUAUCCAUCAUCUGCAAUACAGUCGGAGUUUUAUAGAUCGUGUAAAUUACUCUGUGAGAGAGCACAGAGAGCGGAGAGAAUACCGUAAUUUGUGCCGCCGGAGAGGGAGGAGCGGCGGAAAUAUGUUCAGAGAUGACUGGAAUCUCCUGCGGCGGUGGCUGCUCCACCUGCGGAGGCCGAAUCGCCGGAGAUGUAGCACUCUCGCUCGUCAUACGUCUUCAGUUUUUUUUUUUUUUUGAAUUUUUUUUUGAAAACUCAAUCUAUUGACUAUGAUUGUCAUUGUACUAUCUUGGUUUUUUUUUUUGUCAACUUUUUAUAUUAGAAUCAAUUUAUGAAGACUAGGUUUUUGUCUUUUAUAUACUUCUAUAUUAAAUUCAUUUUUGUAAUUUGAAAUUUAUUAAUUUAAAUAUUAAAAAUCAGAUAAUUUCCCGCAUAAUUAAGUAAUUUCGUGUCAAAAAAAUGUCCGCAUAAUCGGUUUCUUUUUUACUUUCGGAAUUUGAUCAAUUUAGUACGAUAUUUGAUGUGUGUUAGGGGUGUCAAAAUGGAUUGAAAUUAAUGGAUCAAUCCAAACCAAUCCAAUCCAUGGAUCUAAUGAAUUGGAAAUUUGGAUCUUAAUGGAUUAAUGGAUUAAAUGGAUUAGUGAGUUUAAUGAAUUGGAUUGAAAUGGUUAAGAUUAUAAUGGAUUAGUGGUUUACUCAUAACCAAACCAAUAAAAAUUAAAUAAUUUAAUUCAGAUGUAUAAACCAAAUAUAACCGAAACAAAUGUCUAAACCGAUUUAAUAAACCGAAACAAAACCUAAUUUCUCACUUUCUCACAAUCGAUCUCGCUCUCGCUCUCUCUCUCUCAGCCUCCAAUUUCACCAUCGUCGCUUAGAGAAUUUCUCCUUCAAAGCCCCAAAACCAAUUCCAACGACCUCUCUUUUCAGAUUCGACGGUGACCACCAUCUUACACUCCCGGCUAGGUAGGAUCUACUUUAUUCUCCGAUUAGGAAAAUCUCCGGUGAAAUUUGUUGAGAUUAUCAUGUGAUUAUGCUUUCUUCGAUUCUACUGUUUUUGGGUUUUGCUUUAUUUACAUUCUCUGUCACUAAGGAGCUCAAUUUUAGGAUUAACCCAUAACAAUUUGAAGAUGAAUCUCUCUUUGCUGUUUCUGUUCCUUUGCUUUGUGGCUGCUUGUAAGAGAGUCUACUUGUGAAAUUUUAGUCAUUUCUUACAUUUUGAACUUGGUUCUUCAUGUUCUGCAUCAAAUCGUUGCUCUUUGAGCUUGGUUUUUGGGUUUUAUGGGUUUGUGAGCAAAAUUGGCUUACUUUAGAGAUUAGUAUAGAUAUGAAGGAAGAAGAUAUCUGUGUAAAAUAUUGAACGUCGUUAGUAUAGAAAUGAGAUUAGUAUCAUGAACGUUAGUAUAGAUAUGAGAUGGAUUAGUAUCAUGAACGUUAGUAUAGAUAUUCUUUAAUCAUGUGAUAUGUUUGGUUUCUCUCUGCAAAUAUUCAAACAGAUAUCUGUGUCUUCUUUUCUAAGUUUUUUUUUUUUGGUAACAAUUCUUUUGCAAGUUCCUGUGUCUUCUUUUACUCUAAUUAGCAAAGUUACUCUUGAAUGUGGAUUUAUGGCUCUUGAAUGUGGAUUUAUGGCUCUUAAUUAUUAACAUCUCAUUUGACUUAAAUCUGCAGACUUAAACCUAAGACUUAACCGAUAUAUAGUUGUGACUGCACACUAUGUAGAUACGAAGUGGAUAUUGCAUAGCAAAAUGCUAUCAUUUUGUGAUAUCCUUCCUCCUCACACCGGUGAUGCUUUAGCUAGUAAAAUCCACGAAUCGUAGAUGAUGCUACCAAUUUAAUUUAUUGGAGAAGAAAAAUAUUUCUCCUUUUAACAAAGAAACAAAUCUAAAACAAAAUAGCAAGCUAAUUUUUUUUUUCUUAAGAU